AUCUAAUUUAAAAAUAGACUUUGUGUACCUAUAAUAAUAUGUAUAAUUUCGCCUCUCACAACAUGAAAUACACUAGUCCAAGCAGAUUGACCAUAUGGAUUGGCCGAUUUUCGGACGGAAAAUAUACAGCUGCAGAUGGUGACCACACAACUCGUGACCACGUGUCUAACAUAAAGUUCCUGAUCCGCAUAUGGCGUUUCCGUAAAUACAUGAGACGAAUCGAUGAUUCAGUUAAUAGGAAAAAUAAAAUUCAUGUUUGAAAAGAUAUAAAGAAAGUUCAUAUGUUGACAAUGCAUUCAACUUUCACUUCUAGCAUCGAGUUUAUCCUAUAAUUACUUUGUCACAAAAAAUGCUGCUCGCACGGAUCCUCAAGUAUUUACAAGUCGAGUGGGCUCAGCAGGGGGUGACCCGAGAAGAAAUGCUUCCUAAUUUUCAUCUGUUAGUGAUUUUGGCGAAAACAUUCUUUCGAAAGAACCAGCGUUGCACCGGGUCUGUAUUUGCAUCUGGCAAGCAGGAGGGUAUACCAUGGAUAAAGCAGAAGGUUACGACGAAGGCAGGGCGAGAGCGGUCAGAAACAAGAGGGCAGUAAAAGGAACAAAAAUUCGGAGGUCGAAUCUCCCGUGAUCGCAACGUCGGUAAACGGCCUCCGCCACGAGACUAAGAGAGAGGAAGCGGAGAAAAGACUCCCGCGGUGGUCAGUGAGUCCCAUAAACUCGCGAUUCCUGGCUGUUCCCCGGCAUCUCUAUACGUAUACACGCAUACGUACGCACACCGUCGCAGGUCGAGUGCGCGCUACCACUGGUGGGUGGGCAAAGCGGCUAUAAGGCACGAUGAAAGAGAGACGAAUGAAGAUAGAGGGAGAGAGAAAGGAACGUAGGGUCAGUAGAGAGGAGACCAGGUAGAGGAAA